rnacentral:rRNA from 1 species
ACUCCUACGGGAGGCAGCAGUGGGGAAUAUUGCACAAUGGGCGCAAGCCUGAUGCAGCCAUGCCGCGUGUAUGAAGAAGGCCUUCGGGUUGUAAAGUACUUUCAGCAGUGAGGAAGGCGGGUACGGUUAAUAGCGUGCUCGUUUGACGUUAGCUGCAGAAGAAGCACCGGCUAACUCCGUGCCAGCAGCCGCGGUAAUACGGAGGGUGCGAGCGUUAAUCGGAAUUACUGGGCGUAAAGCGCAUGCAGGUGGUUUGUUAAGUCAGAUGUGAAAGCCCGGGGCUCAACCUCGGAAUUGCAUUUGAAACUGGCAGACUAGAGUACUGUAGAGGGGGGUAGAAUUUCAGGUGUAGCGGUGAAAUGCGUAGAGAUCUGAAGGAAUACCGGUGGCGAAGGCGGCCCCCUGGACAGAUACUGACACUCAGAUGCGAAAAGCGUGGGGAGCAAACAGGAUUAGAUACCCUGGUAGGAUAGCG